UGGUGGGGUGUUUUAAUUAUAAGCUUAGGCAUGUAAUAGGGCCAUUCUUUUAGCCGACUAUAUAAUAAAUUGAUUUGUCAGGUGAUCUCUUUUUGUUAACUGCACUCUAAUAUCUGCAUUCCUUCUGAACUUGACAAUAAAAACUGGUUAUCUAUUAAAUAAAUCGGAUUUCAGGAAAAACUCAUAGCCAUUUUUUCGGAUAAUCUCCCCCCACCCCUUUUCUCUCUCGCCCUUGUCAUUGCCCUCAGUAUAAAUAGAUGAUUGGUGCAACAAAAUCUUCACCAAUCUGGAUUUGCUAGAAGAUGACGAAUAGGUAUCACCAUGGUGUAGAUUCUGUUGCAAUGUGUACAAGAAAAUGCAGCUGUGCUUGUGUAUAUUUGAAUUUUCAAUUUCCACAACUUAUUCCAUUUGAUACAUUUUUCAGGUUGAAAAGGCUUUCAGAGAA
rnacentral:misc_RNA from 1 species